rnacentral:rRNA from 1 species
GGUUAAGCGACUAAGCGUACACGGUGGAUGCCCUGGCAGUCAGAGGCGAUGAAGGACGUGCUAAUCUGCGAAAAGCGUCGGUAAGGUGAUAUGAACCGUUAUAACCGGCGAUGUCCGAAUGGGGAAACCCAGUGCAAUUCGUUGCACUAUCGUUAACUGAAUACAUAGGUUAACGAGGCGAACCGGGGGAACUGAAACAUCUAAGUACCCCGAGGAAAAGAAAUCAACCGAGAUUCCCCCAGUAGCGGCGAGCGAACGGGGAGCAGCCCAGAGUCUGAAUCAGCUUGUGUGUUAGUGGAACGGUCUGGAAAGUCCGACGGUACAGGGUGAUAGUCCCGUACACCAAAAUGCACAGGUUGUGAACUCGAAGAGUAGGGCGGGACACGUGGUAUCCUGUCUGAAUAUGGGGGGACCAUCCUCCAAGGCUAAAUACUCCUGACUGACCGAUAGUGAACCAGUACCGUGAGGGAAAGGCGAAAAGAACCCCGGCGAGGGGAGUGAAAAAGAACCUGAAACCGUGUACGUACAAGCAGUGGGAGCACCUUCGGGUGUGACUGCGUACCUUUUGUAUAAUGGGUCAGCGACUUAUAUUCUGUAGCAAGGUUAACCGUAUAGGGGAGCCGCAGGGAAACCGAGUCUUAACUGGGCGUUAAGUUGCAGGGUAUAGACCCGAAACCCGGUGAUCUAGCCAUGGGCAGGUUGAAGGUUGGGUAACACUAACUGGAGGACCGAACCGACUAAUGUUGAAAAAUUAGCGGAUGACUUGUGGCUGGGGGUGAAAGGCCAAUCAAACCGGGAGAUAGCUGGUUCUCCCCGAAAGCUAUUUAGGUAGCGCCUCGUGAACUCAUCUUCGGGGGUAGAGCACUGUUUCGGCUAGGGGGUCAUCCCGACUUACCAACCCGAUGCAAACUACGAAUACCGAAGAAUGUUAUCACGGGAGACACACGGCGGGUGCUAACGUCCGUCGUGAAGAGGGAAACAACCCAGACCGCCAGCUAAGGUCCCAAAGUCAUGGUUAAGUGGGAAACGAUGUGGGAAGGCACAGACAGCCAGGAUGUUGGCUUAGAAGCAGCCAUCAUUUAAAGAAAGCGUAAUAGCUCACUGGUCGAGUCGGCCUGCGCGGAAGAUGUAACGGGGCUAAACCAUGCACCGAAGCUGCGGCAGCGACACUAUGUGUUGUUGGGUAGGGGAGCGUUCUGUAAGCCUGCGAAGGUGACCUGUGAGGGUUGCUGGAGGUAUCAGAAGUGCGAAUGCUGACAUAAGUAACGAUAAAGCGGGUGAAAAGCCCGCUCGCCGGAAGACCAAGGGUUCCUGUCCAACGUUAAUCGGGGCAGGGUGAGUCGACCCCUAAGGCGAGGCCGAAAGGCGUAGUCGAUGGGAAACAGGUUAAUAUUCCUGUACUUGGUGUUACUGCGAAGGGGGGACGGAGAAGGCUAUGUUAGCCGGGCGACGGUUGUCCCGGUUUAAGCAUGUAGGCUGAUUGUCCAGGCAAAUCCGGAUAAUCAAGGCUGAGGUGUGAUGACGAGGCACUACGGUGCUGAAGUAACAAAUGCCCUGCUUCCAGGAAAAGCCUCUAAGCAUCAGGUAACAUCAAAUCGUACCCCAAACCGACACAGGUGGUCAGGUAGAGAAUACCAAGGCGCUUGAGAGAACUCGGGUGAAGGAACUAGGCAAAAUGGUGCCGUAACUUCGGGAGAAGGCACGCUGGUGUGUAGGUGAAGCCCCUGCGGGUGGAGCUGAGACCAGUCGAAGAUACCAGCUGGCUGCAACUGUUUAUUAAAAACACAGCACUGUGCAAACACGAAAGUGGACGUAUACGGUGUGACGCCUGCCCGGUGCCGGAAGGUUAAUUGAUGGGGUUAUCCGUAAGGAGAAGCUCUUGAUCGAAGCCCCGGUAAACGGCGGCCGUAACUAUAACGGUCCUAAGGUAGCGAAAUUCCUUGUCGGGUAAGUUCCGACCUGCACGAAUGGCGUAAUGAUGGCCAGGCUGUCUCCACCCGAGACUCAGUGAAAUUGAACUCGCUGUGAAGAUGCAGUGUACCCGCGGCAAGACGGAAAGACCCCGUGAACCUUUACUAUAGCUUGACACUGAACAUUGAGCCUUGAUGUGUAGGAUAGGUGGGAGGCUUUGAAGCGUGGACGCCAGUCUGCGUGGAGCCAACCUUGAAAUACCACCCUUUAAUGUUUGAUGUUCUAACGUUGGCCCCUUACCGGGGUUGCGGACAGUGUCUGGUGGGUAGUUUGACUGGGGCGGUCUCCUCCCAAAGCGUAACGGAGGAGCACGAAGGUUAGCUAAUCCUGGUCGGACAUCAGGAGGUUAGUGCAAUGGCAUAAGCUAGCUUGACUGCGAGCGUGACGGCGCGAGCAGGUGCGAAAGCAGGUCAUAGUGAUCCGGUGGUUCUGAAUGGAAGGGCCAUCGCUCAACGGAUAAAAGGUACUCCGGGGAUAACAGGCUGAUACCGCCCAAGAGUUCAUAUCGACGGCGGUGUUUGGCACCUCGAUGUCGGCUCAUCACAUCCUGGGGCUGAAGUAGGUCCCAAGGGUAUGGCUGUUCGCCAUUUAAAGUGGUACGCGAGCUGGGUUUAGAACGUCGUGAGACAGUUCGGUCCCUAUCUGCCGUGGGCGCUGGAGAAUUGAGGGGGGCUGCUCCUAGUACGAGAGGACCGGAGUGGACGCAUCACUGGUGUUCGGGUUGUCAUGCCAAUGGCACUGCCCGGUAGCUAAAUGCGGAAGAGAUAAGUGCUGAAAGCAUCUAAGCACGAAACUUGCCCCGAGAUGAGUUCUCCCUGAGACUUUAAGUCUCCUGAAGGAACGUUAAAGACGAUGACGUUGAUAGGCCGGGUGUGUAAGCGCAGCGAUGCGUUGAGCUAACCGGUACUAAUGAACCGUGAGGCUUAACCUU